rnacentral:rRNA from 1 species
GAUGAACGCUGGCGGCGUGCCUAAUACAUGCAAGUCGAACGAGUGGCGGACGGGUGAGUAAUGUCUGGGAAACUGCCCGAUGGAGGGGGAUAACUACUGAAAACGGUAGCUAAUACCGCAUACCAUCGGAUGUUCCCAGAUUGGAUUAGCUAGUAGGUGGGGUAACGGCUCACCUAGUCGACGAUCCCUAGCUGGUCUGAGAGGAUGACCGGCCACACUGGAACUGAAGCACGGUCCAGACUCCUACGGGAGGCAGCAGGGGGGAAUAUUGCACAAGGGGCGCAAGCCUGAUGCAGCCAUGCCGCGUGUAUGAAGAAGGCCUUCGGGUUGUAAAGUACUUUCAGCGGGGAGGCGUUACUCGCAGAAGAAGCACCGGCUAACUCCGUGCCAGCAGCCGCGGUAAUAC